rnacentral:rRNA from 1 species
CCUACGGGGGGCUGCAGUGAGGAAUCUUGGUCAAUGGGCGGGAGCCUGACCCAGCCAAGCCGCGUGAGGGAAGAAGGUACAGCGUAUCGUAAACCUCUUUUGUCAGGGAACAAAGGCGGGGACUAGUCCCCGGAUGAGGGUACCUGAAGAAAAAGCAUCGGCUAACUCCGUGCAAGCAGCCGCGGUAAUACGGAGGAUGCGAGCGUUAUCCGGAUUUAUUGGGUUUAAAGGGUGAGCAGGCGGCCUGUUAAGUCAGCGGUAAAAGCCCGGGGCUAAACCCCGGCGAGCGGUUGAAACUGGGGGGCUGGAGUUGGAGAGAGGUACGCGGAAUGCGCGGUGUAGCGGUGAAAUGCUUAGAUAUCGCGAAGAACCCCGGUUGCGAAGGC